AGUUAAAACUAGUUGUAAAGUUAAAAAAUUUAUAUUGGAACUUCUUUUUCUUUUAACAUUCAUGUUUAUUUAUUUAUACUAUCUUAGAAUUUGCUGCUUUAGAGGCAUGGCAUUUAGUGUCACAUUAAUUUACUGUUUUAGACAUGUGGCAUGUGGUAUCCCACUACACUUGGUAUAAGCUGUCAUACUACACGUGGCAUGUGGUAUCCCACUAAUUAGCUAUUUUAAACAUGUGACAAGUGGUACGACACUGUAUUGAUGUAUGUGAAAUGUAUAGAGUCUUUCAGUUACCAGAUAAUGUCAAGGAGUUGACAGCAUGGUGUCCGAUUCAAAGUGCGAACCUGUGUACGAGUAACAACAGUAUUCAAAACCAAAACCUAUUUAAACCAACCAAACCAAAACUAGCGACCAAAAACUAACUUGGCAUUGGUUUAUUUUAAACAUUUAUUAUAUAUAUGUGUGUUUUUUAUAUAAAUGUACUAGCUUGAG